CUCGCUGUAGUUUAAUUUAAAACGCUGAAUUGCAAAUUCAGAGAUUGGACGCCCAUAGCGAGU
rnacentral:tRNA from 1 species